CCUUAUAAAACAAGGACCCUCGCCUAGAGUCGGGGCAUUCACUUUCGAAUGUCCCCUCUCUGUAAAAGAGAGCUUUCCUACUAUUCUUACUUUCUGAUCUUAUGCUCUCAUAAACUUUUACCUGCUGCUCAUAAAAAAAAAAAAAGAAAAGAAAGAAAAGAAAAAAAGAAAAGUUCUGGCAUCUAAAUUUGCAGCCUUGAGAUUUGUUUAUCCUCAAAACUAAAUUCAGCCCAUCAGCCACUGAAAGAAUGCUUUCAAAAAAUGUAUUUGAGGAAAUGAAGCUCUGGUUCCCUGAACUCAUCUGUUUUGCCACUUUAGUGCACCCAAAGCCAUUGGGCUGGCACUCUCUACUUUAGCCUUCCUCCUUCCUGCAGAAAACCUUCCAUUUUGAGGACCUGCCCUCUGCUUCUAUGUGUGACCAGUUCCAGAGAAUCCUGUGGAAGUCUGACUCCCUGUCCCUCAGGUGCCUGGCACUGAGCUUGCCUUCAGCAACUAUUGUCUGGUGAGAGACUGAAGCCGUCUGGUUUCCAGGGAGACUCGUCCCCAUUCCAAAGGAGAGACAGGUGCUUCUCAGCUCCCCUUUUGUGACAGCUCCGAAGUUUCCCCGUGUGCCUCGUGUCCCCACCCCAGUCAGGAGCCCAGAGCCAGGGUAAAAGCGCGCACGGCAGAGGCGUGUCUGGGAAGGAGGACGGGAGGCAGGCGCAGACGCUCUUCCAGCCCCACCCUGCCUCGGGCGGGCCCUCACCCACGGAGCCCACAUUGUGGAUUUUGCCCAGGCCUGACGUCUGAUUAGGUAGCGUCCACUUCUGGAAGAGCUGCUGAAAGACAGCUGACUCGGCCCCAUCGUUCUGCACCUCCACCUGUGUGUUCGGGGGGUACUGCUUCGCUUUGAUAAAGUUCUGGGAAGAGAAAGCGG